rnacentral:tRNA from 1 species
GCCGGAUUAGCUCAGACGGCAGAGCAAUCACCUCGUAAGCGACAGGUCCGCGGGUUGCACCCUGCAAGGGUUCGAUUCCGCGAUCCAGCA